CCUACGGGGGGCUGCAGUGGGGAAUAUUGGACAAUGGGCGAAAGCCUGAUCCAGCCAUGCCGCGUGUGUGAAGAAGGCCUUCGGGUUGUAAAGCACUUUCAGUGGGGAAGAAAGCCUUGGGGCUAAUACCCUCGAGGAAGGACAUCACCCACAGAAGAAGCACCGGCUAACUCCGUGCCAGCAGCCGCGGUAAUACGGAGGGUGCGAGCGUUAAUCGGAAUUACUGGGCGUAAAGCGCGCGUAGGCGGUCUGAUAAGCCGGUUGUGAAAGCCCCGGGCUCAACCUGGGAACGGCAUCCGGAACUGUCAGGCUAGAGUGCAGGAGAGGAAGGUAGAAUUCCCGGUGUAGCGGUGAAAUGCGUAGAGAUCGGGAGGAAUACCAGAGGCGAAGGCGGCCUUCUGGACUGACACUGACGCUGAGGUGCGAAAGCGUGGGUAGCAAACAGGAUUAGAUACCCGAGUAGUC
rnacentral:rRNA from 1 species